rnacentral:rRNA from 1 species
AUCAUUAACGAAUAACUAUGGUGUCUUGGUUGUCGCUGGCUCCUCGGAGCAUCGUGCACGCCCGCCAUUUUUAUCUAUCCACCUGUGCACCGAAUGUAGGUCUGGAUGACUCUCGCCUCCGGGCGGAUGCGAGGUUUGCGUGCGAGCGCUCUCCUCGAAUUUCCAGGCUCUACGUCUCUUUACACACCCCAAACGUAUGAUGCAGAAUGUAGUCAAUGGGCCUUUACAAGCCUAUAAAACACUAUACAACUUUCAGCAACGGAUCUCUUGGCUCUCGCAUCGAUGAAGAACGCAGCGAAAUGCGAUAAGUAAUGUGAAUUGCAGAAUUCAGUGAAUCAUCGAAUCUUUGAACGCACCUUGCGCUCCUUGGUAUUCCGAGGAGCAUGCCUGUUUGAGUGUCAUUAAAUUCUCAACCUCACCGGUUUUCUGAACCGUUCUCCGAGGCUUGGAUGUGGGGGUUUGUGCAGGUCGCCUCAGCGCGGUCUGCUCCCCUGAAAUGCAUUAGCGAGAUUCAUUCUGGACCUCCGUCUAUCGGUGUGAUAAUUAUCUACGUCGUUGACUUGGUUCGGACUCGCUUCUAACCGUCCGCGAGGACAACAUACUUGACAAUUGACCUCAAAUCAGGUAGGACUCCCCCG